rnacentral:rRNA from 1 species
GACGAACGCUGGCGGUGUGCUUAACACAUGCAAGUCGAACGGUAAGGCCCUUUCGGGGGUACACGAGUGGCGAACGGGUGAGUAACACGUGAGUAACCUGCCCUCAUCUCUGGGAUAACAGUCGGAAACGGUUGCUAAUACUGGAUAUGAGCUUGCAAGGCAUCUUGUGGGUUGGAAAGAUUUUUUUGGUUGGGGAUGGACUCGCGGCCUAUCAGCUUGUUGGUGAGGUAGUGGCUCACCAAGGCUUCGACGGGUAGCCGGCCUGAGAGGGCGACCGGCCACAUUGGGACUGAGAUACGGCCCAAACUCCUACGGGAGGCAGCAGUGGGGAAUAUUGCACAAUGGACGGAAGUCUGAUGCAGCACCGCCGCGUGCGGGAUGACGGCCUUGGGGUUGUAAACCGCUUUCAAUUGUGACGAAGCUUUUUGUGACGGUAGCAGUAGAAGAAGCACCGGCUAACUACGUG